AUUGAACGCUGGCGGCAGGCUCAACACAUGCAAGUCGAGCGGGGUGAUGGUGCUUGCACUAUCACUUAGCGGCGGACGGGUGAGUAAUGCUUAGGAAUCUGCCUAUUAGUGGGGGACAACAUCUCGAAAGGGAUGUUAAUACCGCAUACGUCCUACGGGAGAAAGCAGGGGAUCACUUGUGACCUUGCGCUAAUAGAUGAGCCUAAGUCGGAUUAGCUAGUUGGUGGGGUAAAGGCCUACCAAGGCGACGAUCUGUAGCGGGUCUGAGAGGAUGAUCCGCCACACUGGGACUGAGACACGGCCCAGACUCCUACGGGAGGCAGCAGUGGGGAAUAUUGGACAAUGGGGGGAACCCUGAUCCAGCCACGCCGCGUGUGUGAAGAAGGCCUUAUGGUUGUAAAGCACUUUAAGCGAGGAGGAGGCUCUUUUGGUUAAUACCCAAGAUGAGUGGACGUUACUCGCAGAAUAAGCACCGGCUAACUCUGUGCCAGCCGCCGCCGUAA
rnacentral:rRNA from 1 species